CCUACGGGGGGCAGCAGUGGGGAAUAUUGCACAAUGGGGGAAACCCUGAUGCAGCGACGCCGCGUGAAGGAAGAAGGUUUUCGGAUCGUAAACUUCUAUCAGCAGGGAAGAAGAAAGUGACAGUACCUGACUAAGAAGCCCCGGCUAACUACGUGCCAGCAGCCGCGGUAAUACGUAGGGGGCAAGCGUUAUCCGGAAUCACUGGGUGUAAAGGGUGCGUAGGCGGUAGGGCAAGUCAGAUGUGAAAGCCCGGGGCUCAACCCCGGGAUUGCAUUUGAAACUAUCUUACUAGAGUGCAGGAGAGGAAAGCGGAAUUCCUAGUGUAGCGGUGAAAUGCGGAGGCAUUAGGAGGAACACCAGGGGCGAAGGCGGCUUUCUGGACUGUAAUGGACGCUGGGGCACGAAAGCGUGGGUAGCGACCAGGAUUAGAUACCCGUGUAGUC
rnacentral:rRNA from 1 species